GAAUUCGCCCUUAGAGUUUGAUCCUGGCUCAGGACGAACGCUGGCGGCGCGCUUAACACAUGCAUGUCGAACGAGCGAGAGAGAGCUUGCUUUCUCGAGCGAGUGGCGAACGGGGUGAGUAACGCGUGAGGAACCUGCCUCAAAGAGGGGGACAACAGUUGGAAACGACUGCUAAUACCGCAUAAGCCCACGGCUCGGCAUCGAGCAGAGGGAAAAGGAGCAAUCCGCUUUGAGAUGGCCUCGCGUCCGAUUAGCUAGUUGGUGAGGUAACGGCCCACCAAGGCGACGAUCGGUAGCCGGACUGAGAGGUUGAACGGCCACAUUGGGACUGAGACACGGCCCAGACUCCUACGGGAGGCAGCAGUGGGGAAUAUUGCACAAUGGGGGAAACCCUGAUGCAGCGACGCCGCGUGGAGGAAGAAGGUCUUCGGAUUGUAAACUCCUGUUGUUGAGGAAGAUAAUGACGGUACUCAACAAGGAAGUGACGGCUAACUACGUGCCAGCAGCCGCGGUAAAACGUAGGUCACAAGCGUUGUCCGGAAUUACUGGGUGUAAAGGGAGCGCAGGCGGGAAGACAAGUUGGAAGUGAAAUCCAUGGGCUCAACCCAUGAACUGCUUUCAAAACUGUUUUUCUUGAGUAGUGCAGAGGUAGGCGGAAUUCCCGGUGUAGCGGUGGAAUGCGUAGAUAUCGGGAGGAACACCAGUGGCGAAGGCGGCCUACUGGGCACCAACUGACGCUGAGGCUCGAAAGUGUGGGUAGCAAACAGGAUUAGAUACCCUGGUAGUCCACACUGUAAACG
rnacentral:rRNA from 1 species